CAGCACUACAGAUCCACUGUUCUGGAGGCCUGUUCUUUCUUUCUGACCCAUCUUGGAUGGAGCUAGAAGGAAAUAUGUUGUGAGAUCACUGAUCAGCUCUGGCUUAUGGUGGUGCAGGGGAUUGAACCUGGGACUUGAGCCUCAGGGAGAAGGCAGCAGUGGGGGGACCAAGAGCACCUGUUUAGUCAGGAUCUGUCAAAGGCCCAUUGUUCCUGCCAUCAGGAAGAUUCCUUGCAGUCUAUUACUACAAGAUAAGAGGGAAGACCCCAACGACUUAAAUCACCAUGAAAAUAAACACGGACAAAAACUAAAGACAUACUCAAUAAACCUUCCCCUUAGGCCCCCUGAUUAAUGCUAAAAGAAUAGUUGACAGCAUGUCACUUUCCGUUU